rnacentral:rRNA from 1 species
UACGUAGGUGGCAAGCGUUACCCGGAUUUAUUGGGCGUAAAGGGAACGCAGGCGGUCUUUUAAGUCUGAUGUGAAAGCCUUCGGCUUAACCGGAGUAGUGCAUUGGAAACUGGGAGACUUGAGUGCAGAAGGGGAGAGUGGAACUUCAUGUGUAGCGGUGAAAUGCGUAGAUAUAUGGAAGAACACCAGUGGCGAAAGCGGCUCUCUGGUCUGUAACUGACGCUGAGGUUCGAAAGCGUGGGUAGCAAACAGG